UACAAUGACUCUCGGCAACGGAUAUCUCGGUUCUUGCAUCGAUGAAGAACGUAGCGAAAUGCGAUACUUGGUGUGAAUUGCAGAAUCCCGUGAACCAUCGAGUUUUUGAACGCAAGUUGCGCCCGAGGCCAUUAGGUCGAGGGCACGUCUGCCUGGGUGUCACA
rnacentral:rRNA from 2 species